rnacentral:rRNA from 1 species
AACGAACGCUGGCGGCAGGCUUAACACAUGCAAGUCGAGCGCCCCGCAAGGGGAGCGGCAGACGGGUGAGUAACGCGUGGGAAUCUACCCAUCUCUACGGAAUAACGCAUGGAAACGUGUGCUAAUACCGUAUACGUCCUUCGGGAGAAAGAUUUAUCGGAGAUGGAUGAGCCCGCGUUGGAUUAGCUAGUUGGUGGGGUAAAGGCCUACCAAGGCGACGAUCCAUAGCUGGUCUGAGAGGAUGAUCAGCCGCACUGGAACUGAGACACGGCCCCGCCUCCUACGGGAGGGAGCAGUGGGGAAUAUUGGACAAUGGGCGCAAGCCUGAUCCAGCCAUGCCGCGUGAGUGAUGAAGGCCCUAGGGUUGUAAAGCUCUUUCACCGGUGAAGAUAAUGACGGUAACCGGAGAAGAAGCCCCGGCUAACUUCGUGCCAGCCGCCGCCGUAACAC